UCAAGCACGGAAAAAAAUGCAUGUAGCCCCAGACUCCCAUUCGAGUUUUGAGUACUACAAAAAGGAAUGAAAAUGGUAGUGCUUGUGUAGUCAUAUAUCUCAACCUGACAGAAGUAAUAACUGGUCUUCCAGGUUUUUUCCCACAAGCCGCAAAUUAGUAGGUUCAGCAUGAUAAAAGCAUAGCAUCAGCAUGUACAGCUGUUUGCCAACCAGUAAAGGAACAGGCAAUGGAUAGGAAUGUCAACAGGCCUGCAUGUUGCAUGGAUUCCCUUAGUUCUGCAGAUAAAAAAAUUGGUAGUUCCCCACAACUUGUAUUAAGUAUGACACAAACUUCAGGAAUCACGGCACUAUAACUUCCUCAAAACGAUAGGGGAGGGUGGGCAUAUACCAAAAUCAACCUUCUGGAAGCACUCGCGGCGCGACUGGUUACUGGGACAGGAGAGUUUCCGCGCCAAUCCUGCACGAUACAGCCGCUACGAACUACUCCUAGUUCGCGAGCCGAUUUUUCUCCCGAUCGUGACGAAGCGCGUCGGUGUACUCAAACUGGCAACCUAAUUUGACACCGAAUCGCCGAUUAAGGUGCCUAGCAAGAGAAAAAUUCGUGCCCCGGGGACUCACCUUCCUCGCUAGGAUCGGAGCAUUUUCGGAACCCUAGCCCCGCGAACCGGAUCGCGAUCCCGGCGACUCCACGCCGCAAGCGCUGGGCUCCGGGAGC
rnacentral:lncRNA from 1 species